rnacentral:rRNA from 1 species
AAUUCGAUUAGAGUUUGAUCCUGGCUCAGAUUCGACAUCUGCUAGAGACGGCAUGCCUUACACAUGCAAGUCGAACGGCAGCACGGGAGCUUGCUCCUGGUGGCGAGUGGCGAACGGGUGAGUAAUACAUCGGAACGUACCCAGGAGUGGGGGAUAACGUAGCGAAAGUUACGCUAAUACCGCAUAUUCUGUGAGCAGGAAAGCGGGGGAUCGCAAGACCUCGCGCUCUUGGAGCGGCCGAUGUCGGAUUAGCUAGUUGGUGAGGUAAAAGCUCACCAAGGCGACGAUCCGUAGCAGGUCUGAGAGGAUGAUCUGCCACACUGGGACUGAGACACGGCCCAGACUCUUACGGGAGGCAGCAGUGGGGAAUUUUGGACAAUGGGGGCAACCCUGAUCCAGCCAUGCCGCGUGAGUGAAGAAGGCCUUCGGGUUGUAAAGCUCUUUCGGCGGGGAAGAAAUGGCAACGGCUAAUAUCCGUUGUUGAUGACGGUACCCGCAUAAGAAGCACCGGCUAACUACGUGCCAGCAGCCGCGGUAAUACUUAGGGUGUGAGCGUUAAUCGGAAUUACUGGGCGUAAAGCGUGCGCAGGCGGUUUCGUAAGACAGACGUGAAAUCCCCGGGCUCAACCUGGGAACUGUGUUUGUGACUGCGAGGCUUCAGUCCGGUUAAGUCGGUUAGCAUUCCCCGUGUAUCUAGUGAAAUGCGUAUAGAUUUUUAAA